CCUACGGGAGGCAGCAGUGAGGAAUCUUGCGCAAUGGGCGAAAGCCUGACGCAGCGACGCCGCAUGAGGGAUGAAGGCCUACGGGUUGUAAACCUCUUUUAGGAGGGAAGAAUAAGCUAUAGUUAACUGCUAUAGCGAUGACGUUACCUCCAGAAAAAGCCCCGGCCAAUCUUACGUGCCAGCAGCCGCGGUAAUACGUAAGGGGCAAGCGUUGUUCGGAUUGACUGGGUGUAAAGGGUCAGCAGACGGUUCUAUAAGUCGGAUGUGAAAUCCGGAGGCUCAACCUUCGAACUGCAUUCGAUACUAUAGGACUUGAGUAUCGGAGAGGUGAGCGGAAUUCCUGGUGUAGCGGUGAAAUGCGUAGAUAUCAGGAGGAACACCGAUGGCGAAGGCAGCUCACUGGCCGAAUACUGACGUUCAGGGACGAAGGCAUGGGGAGCAAACAGGAUUAGAUCCCCGGGUAGU
rnacentral:rRNA from 1 species